rnacentral:rRNA from 1 species
UGGGGAAUAUUGCGCAAUGGGCGAAAGCCUGACGCAGCGACGCCGCGUGAGGGAUGAAGGUUUUCGGAUCGUAAACCUCUGUCAGAAGGGAAGAAACCGCACUGUGCUAAUCAGCAGUGCCUUGCCGGUACCUUCAAAGGAAGCACCGGCUAACUCCGUGCCAGCAGCCGCGGUAAUACGGAGGGUGCAAGCGUUAAUCGGAAUUACUGGGCGUAAAGCGCACGUAGGCUGCUUUGUAAGUCAGGGGUGAAAUCCCACGGCUCAACCGUGGAACUGACUUUGAUACUGCUUAGCUUGAAUCCGGGAGAGGGUGGCGGAAUUCCAGGUGUAGGAGUGAAAUCCGUAGAUAUCUGGAGGAACAUCAGUGGCGAAGGCGGCCACCUGGACCGGUAUUGACGCUGAGGUGCGAAAGCGUGGGGAGCAAACAGG